GAUGAACGCUGGCGGCGUGCCUAAUACAUGCAAGUCGAGCGAACGGACGAGAAGCUUGCUUCUCUGAUGUUAGCGGCGGACGGGUGAGUAACACGUGGAUAACCUACCUAUAAGACUGGGAUAACUUCGGGAAACCGGAGCUAAUACCGGAUAAUAUUUUGAACCGCAUGGUUCAAAAGUGAAAGACGGUCUUGCUGUCACUUAUAGAUGGAUCCGCGCUGCAUUAGCUAGUUGGUAAGGUAACGGCUUACCAAGGCAACGAUGCAUAGCCGACCUGAGAGGGUGAUCGGCCACACUGGAACUGAGACACGGUCCAGACUCCUACGGGAGGCAGCAGUAGGGAAUCUUCCGCAAUGGGCGAAAGCCUGACGGAGCAACGCCGCGUGAGUGACGAAGGUCUUCGGAUCGUAAAACUCUGUUAUUAGGGAAGAACAUAUGUGUAAGUAACUGCGCACAUCUUGACGGUACCUAAUCAGAAAGCCACGGCUAACUACGUG
rnacentral:rRNA from 1 species